rnacentral:rRNA from 1 species
AAAUUGAAGAGUUUGAUCAUGGCUCAGAUUGAACGCUGGCGGCAGGCCUAACACAUGCAAGUCGAGCGGUAGCACAGAGAGCUUGCUCUCGGGUGACGAGCGGCGGACGGGUGAGUAAUGUCUGGGAAACUGCCUGAUGGAGGGGGAUAACUACUGGAAACGGUAGCUAAUACCGCAUAAUGUCGCAAGACCAAAGUGGGGGACCUUCGGGCCUCAUGCCAUCAGAUGUGCCCAGAUGGGAUUAGCUAGUAGGUGGGGUAACGGCUCACCUAGGCGACGAUCCCUAGCUGGUCUGAGAGGAUGACCAGCCACACUGGAACUGAGACACGGUCCAGACUCCUACGGGAGGCAGCAGUGGGGAAUAUUGCACAAUGGGCGCAAGCCUGAUGCAGCCAUGCCGCGUGUGUGAAGAAGGCCUUCGGGUUGUAAAGCACUUUCAGCGGGGAGGAAGGCGUUAAGGUUAAUAACCUUGGCGAUUGACGUUACCCGCAGAAGAAGCACCGGCUAACUCCGUGCCAGCAGCCGCGGUAAUACGGAGGGUGCAAGCGUUAAUCGGAAUUACUGGGCGUAAAGCGCACGCAGGCGGUCUGUCAAGUCGGAUGUGAAAUCCCCGGGCUCAACCUGGGAACUGCAUUCGAAACUGGCAGGCUAGAGUCUUGUAGAGGGGGGUAGAAUUCCAGGUGUAGCGGUGAAAUGCGUAGAGAUCUGGAGGAAUACCGGUGGCGAAGGCGGCCCCCUGGACAAAAACUGACGCUCAGGUGCGAAAGCGUGGGGAGCAAACAGGAUUAGAUACCCUGGUAGUCCACGCCGUAAACGAUGUCGAUUUGGAGGUUGUGCCCUUGAGGCGUGGCUUCCGGAGCUAACGCGUUAAAUCGACCGCCUGGGGAGUACGGCCGCAAGGUUAAAACUCAAAUGAAUUGACGGGGGCCCGCACAAGCGGUGGAGCAUGUGGUUUAAUUCGAUGCAACGCGAAGAACCUUACCUGGUCUUGACAUCCACAGAACUUUCCAGAGAUGGAUUGGUGCCUUCGGGAACUGUGAGACAGGUGCUGCAUGGCUGUCGUCAGCUCGUGUUGUGAAAUGUUGGGUUAAGUCCCGCAACGAGCGCAACCCUUAUCCUUUGUUGCCAGCGGUCCGGCCGGGAACUCAAAGGAGACUGCCAGUGAUAAACUGGAGGAAGGUGGGGAUGACGUCAAGUCAUCAUGGCCCUUACGACCAGGGCUACACACGUGCUACAAUGGCAUAUACAAAGAGAAGCGACCUCGCGAGAGCAAGCGGACCUCAUAAAGUAUGUCGUAGUCCGGAUUGGAGUCUGCAACUCGACUCCAUGAAGUCGGAAUCGCUAGUAAUCGUAGAUCAGAAUGCUACGGUGAAUACGUUCCCGGGCCUUGUACACACCGCCCGUCACACCAUGGGAGUGGGUUGCAAAAGAAGUAGGUAGCUUAACCUUCGGGAGGGCGCUUACCACUUUGUGAUUCAUGACUGGGGUGAAGUCGUAACAAGGUAACCGUAGGGGAACCUGCGGUUGGAUCACCUCCUUACCUUAAAGAA